rnacentral:lncRNA from 1 species
CCUGAGAUGUUAGAAUGAAUCCUUUUUCAUAGUUGAUAGUUCUGGUCAUUUUUCGGUGUAAAUCAUACAGACACAUAUUGAGUUGAUAGUCUUCUAGCUGAUCGGUCUCCUGAAGUCUUGCACAAAAUUCAACUUUAUCUAAGAAUUCUUGUAGAGUAAUAUCUUAUGAAAUUCCUUGGAUCCAAAAGUUUAUAAGGGUGUACCUUGAAAGCAGAGCUUCGGAGCAUCCGUUGAUUGAGCAUAACUAUAGAAGAAGUCAGUUGUCCAUAGGCAUCUUUGCCUCCAAUUAGCGAGAUGUAAACCAGAAGCAGUUGCAUGACAAUAAAGUACAUAACACGAGUCCUCUGAACCAUAAAAUAGGAUGCCUUCCCUCUGCUCGCCUCCAAGUAGCAAAAGAUUAAACUGCAAAUAGGAAAAGGCAAUCUUCCAUAGGAUGUCUUGUUGUAUUGAAAUACAAAUAAGAGCGUCUGUUUCUGAAAUAAAAGCCCG